AUCUUUAAACACAAAAAAAAAAAACAGCUUUUGUGAAUGAAAAAAAAAAAGGUUCCAGAAAAUUGGGGGAAAAUGGCGAAUCAAUCAUCUUCGUGUCGUGUCCCGUUCACUGCGUUUCGUUCGGUCAAGAUAACAAUGGUUUCGCCAUAAGCUCGAAAGAUUCGAUUCCGCCACAGACAGAUUCUGCUAUGAACGAGGUAAGCUUAUCGAAUUCGAAUUCUUUGACCUUAUCCCUCCUAGAUUUCUAACUGGAUCUCGUGUUAUGGGUUUCUGAGAAGUCAAUUGCUAAGCUUUUGUUGAUUUUUCCGCUUGAUUUUGUCUUCGGUCAAGUUUUUUGGAUUUUUUGCGAGAUUGGGUAUUGAGGAUUGGUUACAGAAAUUGACUACAGUUUGAUCAUGAUCAGAUGCUUGCUAAUGUGGAACUUUAGUAAAGUGUUUCUGAACAUGAUGGACCCCAAAUAUUGGUUGGGUCAACUAGGUUCGAGUUUUCCAAAUCAUUUGGAGAAUACAUUCACAUAAGUUUCCUCGUUUUUUUGAAACAUGCAGCGGGACAAAGUUACGGUGAACUUUUGAAUUAAAAAUAAAAUAAAAAACAUGUGCUCAUGAACUGUAGAAUUCGUACCUACCUGUCUUGAUUUUUCUAAGAAUUCAAGAGAUUUUUAGGUCCUUCGACCGUUGAAGGCUGUGAACUCAUUGCUCGCGUUGGUUUAUCAUUUGAUUCUCGUACGAAACAGUUCUGAACUGUAAACUUGUUCACUGAUUCUAAAGUGUGUUAUUUGGAUU